UUCCAUGAACUGUGUUGUUGCUGGGUUUUUGUCUGAAGAAAUUCCAGAUUCCCAGGUGGGUCAGUGUGGAAGGAGAGGCUGCAUAUGUCAUUGUACAGUUGCACUGACUGGGUUAGGCCUAGAUAAGAAUGGCAACCCCAAGAAGAGAACUACCCCACACACCCACUGACCCACGCACAGCAUUGAGCCUGAGAGAGAAAGAGAGAGGUAGAACAAAACCAUGAAAAAGCUUGUGGGACCUCCAACUGUUGUUUGCUUUGUUCAGCUACGACUCUAUAAAAAAAGAAGCCGCCCAGCUACGAUAAAGAAGAAACAGUACUGAAGACAUGGCUACCCACUGCAUUAAUUGAUUUGGUCGCCCGGCCAACUCCGAUUUGCUCAUCAAGCGUGGGUUUUACACGAAAGCCACUAGAAAAUGCGUACACCCUUAUUUUAGGGCUGGAUUCGAGUCGAGUCGAAUAGUAUCAGGUUCGAGCUCGACUUAACCUUCUAUCGAGUUUGUUUAUAUAUAUAUAUAUAUAUAAACGAAAACAAAAAAAAAUAAAAAAUAAAAAACGACGCAAAAAGAUGGGCUGGGGAGUAUCGCUGGUUGCCGUUGUAGGUGCCGGUGCCGGAAUAGGAGAAGAUGAUAAAUACCACUGAUUUCUCUGAUAUCUGGAAAACGAAAACAUCAGAAAAAAAAACGAAAAAAUAAAAAACGAGGUGAAAAGAUGGGCUGGGGAGUACCGCCGGUUUCCGUUGUAGGUGCCGGUGCCGGAGAAGAAGAAGAUGCUCUGGCGAGCGAAAAACAGUCAGGGUCAGCACUCGAGAGGGAGGAGAGGGAGAAGAGGGUUUCGAGAUACCUAAUCUGGAGCUAUCGAAUGAAGGGGUUGAAACGGAAGGGGUUAACGAACGUUAUGUUAUCCCCGCACGCGCUACUUACGUAUCUCGUGUGAAGGGGCAGGUGGCAGCUCGUAAGCGUGUGGGCCGUUUGUGGGGAAAAACAUCGUGGGGCGCAUAUUUGAACUCACUCCUCACUCUCUCUUUUAUCUCUUUCUAUUGUGUUGUUGGGACGAUUAUGCUGUCUGAUUUGUCUAUAAGGCCUUCUUUCUAAGGUUUCUGUCUUGGAGGCUUGACAAUGUGCUUCAGUGAUCAUUUCUUCUUCAUUGGCCUUGGUUGCACAGUGGUGGAGAUCCUCAGGGGUUGGGAUGUUGCUGCAACGACACUGACUGUUGAAGAUGGUGGUGGUUUUCGAUGGCCUAUUGUCUUUAGUUUUUUUUUUCUUUCCCCUUCUUUUUAUGUGUUCUUUCUUGUUCUUUUUGCUUGUGCUAAUUCCUGUUUUCUCGUCAUUUUCCGUUUGCCUUGGAGGGUCCGGCGAUGGCGUCUAGUGGCAGUUUUUUCUUCACUAUUUUGGGUGCUGGUUGUAGUCGAGGGGAGAUUGUCAGAGAUCUGGUAGUUUGGGAGUUGGGUGUCGGUGUGGUGGCGCGUGGGGUGACGACGGGCAGUGGUUCCAGUGGUGGUUUCUUCUUCGCUAUUUUGGGUGUUGGCUGUAGUCGGGCGGAGGUUGUCGGAGGUUUGGUGGUUUGCGGUGUCAGUGAUGGCGGAUCUCUGACCUUCUUUUGAGGUUGUGUGUCGGUGCAAUGGCACGUAUCUGGCCUUCUUUGGACUUCUGUGGCGGUGGGGUGGCAGCUAUAAAGUGUUGAUGUUCAUUGGCAUCACCGACGACGGUGGUCUUUGUUCUUCAUUAUUUUCUCUGUCCAAUCGGGCAUCACAUGCAGGUUGGAUAGUCAUUGAUAUGGGUCGACCCAAGGCGGGGUGUAGCGGAUCCGAUGUCACCGUUUCAUGUUUGGGCCUGUGCUAGGGAACCAGACCUAUGUUCGAAUUACCCUGUUACUUUCUCAUUUAAGGACCAAAAAACAGGGAGCAUUUUUACGUCUUAAUCGUAAGACCAUCGACCAUUCGACACCAGUUUUGCGAUAAAUAUUGGCCGUCGGCGUCGUUAAGGCGGCCGACCACUAUCUUUCGCCCUUCAGACUCCACUGUGGUCAAGCGCCCCUGUUUCUCAGUUAAUGACAAAAAAUUAGUGAGCAUUUUCACCCUUAACGUAAGGCCAUCGACCAUUCGUCGCUGACUUUGUGAGAACUAAUAUCCGCCGGCAUCUUUCCGACGACAGACAGCUCUUUUCUGGUGUUCAAAUCCUAGAUACACAUGCUAGGCUUCGCACUGUGGUCGAGCAACUACUGUAGCUCACCUGGUCAAGAAGGCGAUAAGUUUAUGUUGGGUCUGGAUACUCCAUCCCGGCUCAUCGGUUAAAAAAGCUCAACCAUGUUGGUACUUCGAGGAAUGUUAAGUGGGGAUACAUCAAAGGACUGAUAUAUGAAGAAAUUAUUGUACAAAAAAGGUUGCAGCAAGUAGCAACAGGAAAAACUGCAUAGGAUGGAAUUCUUGGUUCUCAACUCUUAUUCAUUUUUGUUGGUCUUAUCAUUUUUUCAUUUUCCUUUUCCCUUUUACCCAAAUAGAAGUUUCAAUUAUUCAAAAGAAGGGCCCUUCGUUUGAAAUUAGAACUUUAACCAAGAAGAUGAUAGAGUAAUAGAAAGCUGAAGUUUGGUGUUUUCUUGCA